rnacentral:rRNA from 1 species
UACAGAGGUCCCGAGCGUUGUUCGGAUUCACUGGGCGUAAAGGGUGCGUAGGUGGCGAUGAAGGUUCGAUGUGAAAUCUCCGGGCUUAACCCGGAAAAGGCAUUGAAAACUAUGUUGCUUGAGGUUUGGAGGGGGGACUGGAAUUCUUGGUGUAGCAGUGAAAUGCGUAGAUAUCAAGAGGAACACCAGUGGCGAAGGCGGGUCCCUGGACAACACCUGACACUGAGGCACGAAAGCUAGGGGAGCAAACAGG